CUCUCUGGAGCUCAGUUGGUUAGAGCGCUGCACCGGAAUCGCAGGGCCGUAGGCUCGAUUCCUUACAGCUGAGAGC